UACGGAGGGGGCUAGCGUUGUUCGGAAUUACUGGGCGUAAAGCGCGCGUAGGCGGCUUUGUAAGUUAGAGGUGAAAGCCCGGGGCUCAACCCCGGAACUGCCUUUAAGACUGCAUCGCUUGAAUCCAGGAGAGGUGAGUGGAAUUCCGAGUGUAGAGGUGAAAUUCGUAGAUAUUAGGAAGAACACCAGUGGCGAAGGCGACUCACUGGUCCGGUACUGACGCUGAGGUGCGAAAGCGUGGGGAGCAAACAGG
rnacentral:rRNA from 1 species